GGGGAAUUUUCCGCAAUGGGCGAAAGCCUGACGGAGCAAUACCGCGUGAGGGAGGAAGGCUCUUGGGUUGUAAACCUCAAAACUUAGGGAAGAAAAAAAUGACGGUACCUAACAUAAGCAUCGGCUAACUCCGUGCCAGCAGCCGCGGUAAUACGGAGGAUGCAAGCGUUAUCCGGAAUCAUUGGGCGUAAAGAGUCCGUAGGCGGCUAAUCAAGUCUGCUGUCAAAGACCGAAGCUCAACUUCGGAAAGGCGGUGGAAACUGAUAAGCUGGAGUACAGUAGGGGUAGAGGGAAUUCCCAGUGUAGCGGUGAAAUGCGUAGAGAUUGGGAAGAACACCAGUGGCGAAGGCGCUCUACUGGGCUUGUACUGACGCUGAGGGACGAAAGCUAGGGGAGCGAAAGGGAUUAGAUACCCCUGUAGUC
rnacentral:rRNA from 1 species